GUACAGCUCACCUGUUCAUGAAGUACCAGAUAGACCCAUCGGAAUCAGAGCAAUCUCUAGUUCCUGAGCUCUGCUUCAGUUUUGCUGGUGAAGCUCAAGUCUGAGGCUGUGCUCUGACCAAUCUCUCCUUCCUUUACUGUAAAGACACGGUGAAAUGGUAAUCCCUUUCUGAAGGAGGAAACAGGAUGUUCCUCUCCCUUGGCCUGGCAGCACUGGCCAGCUGUGCACAGCUGCACACCAGCCCAGCAGCAGAAAGUUCAAGUUCACCCUUCCUAAGCAAGGAUCUAUGCCUUGGGCUCAAGCCAAGCUGGCAACCACCAACAGAGAGAAGCAGCACAAAGCAUAGCAGACCCCGCAUAUAGGACCCACGUUUGCACCAUUGCCAUUGCUCCACCACUGAGCUAGAGAGGCUUUCAUGCAGACAAAACUUAAGGACUGUAUUUUGGGCAUGUCUUUGGAAAGGCUUCUAAUCGUUGAAAAGUUCUUCACUUAAAUUCAUCAUCAUCAUCAUCACCGAAUGAGUGACAGGGAUUUAAACCUUAAUAUUGUGUGAGUUUUUCCUGCUGUUCAGAGUCUACUCACUGGAAACAAGCAGCCAAUUUAAAAAGAUAUUGGAAGAACAGCUUGGACACAGAGAAAGGAAUGACCUGGAGUCUUAAAAAACAGACAAGCUUUUCAGUAGCUCGGCAUUUGGAACAAGAAGCUAAAAGUCACAUAAGGCCAGUAAAGUGUAGGGCAUUCUGGUUACCUAAAAAAUAACCAUCCUUGGCUCCUCUCUUUAGUAUCUCUGCUCAGGGAUCAAGUUAACUGUUUUGUGGGGAGGCUGGAUGCAGUUGUGCAGCUGUGGUGGUGAGUUUUCUUCCAUGUGUAAAG
ensembl:lncRNA